rnacentral:rRNA from 1 species
ACUCCUACGGGAGGCAGCAGUUGGGAAUAUUGCACAAUGGGGGAAACCCUGAUGCAGCCAUGCCGCGUGUGUGAAGAAGGCCUUCGGGCCGUAAAGCACUUUCAGCGAGGAGGAAAGGUCAGUAGCUAAUAUCUGCUGACUGUGACGUUACUCGCAGAAGAAGCACCGGCUAACUCCGUGCCAGCAGCCGCGGUAAU